AGGCAGGAGAAUUGCACGAACCCAAGAGGUAGAGCUUGCAGUGAGCUGAGAUCGCGCCACUGCACUCCAGCCUGGGUGACAGAGCGAGACUCCGUCUCAAAAAAAAAAACAAAAAAAAAAACAAACAAGGUCAUUGUCUUAUGUUACCACAGUAUAGAUAUAAAAAUCAGGACAUUUAACAUUGAUGUAAUACUAUCAACUAAUUCAUAGUCCAUAUUACAUUUCGUUAGUUGUCCUAAAAAUAUUAUUAUUUUGAUAGAGACAGAGCCUUGUUCUGUUGCCCAGCUGGAAUGCAAUGGCUGAAUCAUAGUUCACUGCAACUUCAAACUCCUGGGCUCAAGCAAUCCUCUUGCCUGCCAAGUAGCUAGGCCUACAGGCAUGUGCCACCACAUCAGGCUAAUUUAUAAAUUUUUGUUGUAGAGAGUAGGUCUCACUAUAUUGCCUAGGCUGGUCUCCAAUUCCUGGCCUUGAGAGAGAGCCUCCUGCCUCAGCCUCCCAAAGUGCUGGGGUUAUAGGCAUGAGCCCUAAAAAUAUGAUAUAAGACUAUUUUUUUCCUGGUCUGGAAUCAAAUCCAAGAUCACAUACUGCCUUUAGCUGUCAUGUCUCUUUUGUCUACCUUAAUCUGUACUAGUUCCUCAGUCUUUUCUUUCUGUUUUCUGACCUCGACAUUUGUGAACAGUACAGGCCAGUUAUUCUAUAAAAGGCCCUCAGUUUGGGUUGGUCUGAGAUUUUCUCGUGAUUAGAUUCAGCUUGUGCAUUUUGGGCAGGGUUACCAUUGAAGCAAUGUUGUGUCCUCAGUGCUUCUUAUUAGGAGGCCCAUGGAAGUCAGUUGGUCCUAAUAUCAGUGAUAUUAGGUUUCAUGACUUGGUUAAAGCAGUGGUAAUGAGGUUCCUCCACUAUUUUCCCUUGUAACUAUUAAGUAACUUAUGGACAGAUACUUUCCUAUGUAAAUAACCCUCUCCUUAUCAAACUGCCACCCACUAGUUUUAGCAUCCACGAAUAAGUUUCUUACUCCAUCAUUCUAUCUAUAUUUACUAGUUAUCAUCCUAUUGUAAGGAAAACCUUGCCCUUUCCCUACAUUUAUAUUAUUAUUCACCUAGAGGCUGAUGAUAAAGGAAAUGUCUGAAUUCCAUUAUGAUAAAGCUGACAAUUGCUAUCAAUUUUUCUAUAGGUGUUGGUCUACAAUGUGAUUUUCCCUCAAGAAAUUAAAUAGUGCCACUGCUCUCCAGUUCAGUAAUACAUGAACCACAGCAUUUUGACUCUAAUGUACAUGGGCCAUUGUUGUAGGUUAUGAAUAUCAAUACAGUAAUAUACAAAGGUUCUUAAAAUUAACCUUGGAUUUAAUAAGAGGUAACACAUUUUCACAUAUAAUUUUUUCAUUUUACUUAAGAAAGACAAUGUUCUUGGGGUUCUUCCGAUUAAAGUUCUGAAUUUAAAUAUUAGAAAUAAAAUAGGACUGAAAACCCAGUUACAUUAUCUUAUAGCACCAACCCCAUAAGAGGUAUCAGUUUGCAGACCAGGAUGUAACAAUGAGGUUGAAGUUGCAGUGAACUCUGGACACAGAGGCAGAAGCUUGGCAGAAAUAUUUUAAAGGAGCCAAAAGAAACUAAAGCUCAUAAGGUCACAUCAGAAAGGUAAAUUUGAAAAAUACAGUUUAAAUGCAACGCUUUCUAAAUUGGUCAAAAAGUACUUAGGUUUCAGUUAUAUGUUCAAUCACUUGACUGUAAAGUGAUU
rnacentral:lncRNA from 1 species